rnacentral:rRNA from 1 species
CAGCAGCCACGGUAAUACGAAGGGUGCAAGCGUUAAUCGGAAUUACUGGGCGUAAAGCGUGCGUAGGCGGUUUGUUAAGUCUGCUGUGAAAUCCCCGGGCUCAACCUGGGAAUGGCAGUGGAUACUGGCAAGCUAGAGUGUGUCAGAGGAUGGUGGAAUUCCCGGUGUAGCGGUGAAAUGCGUAGAGAUCGGGAGGAACAUCAGUGGCGAAGGCGGCCAUCUGGGACAACACUGACGCUGAGGCACGAAAGCGUGGGGAGCAAACAGGAUUAGAUACCCGUGUAGUCCCUGUCUCUUAUAC